rnacentral:rRNA from 1 species
AUGAACGCUAGCUACAGGCUUAACCCAUGCCAGUCGAGGGGAAACGACAUCGAAAGCUUGCUUUUGAUGGGCGUCGACCGGCGCACGGGUGAGUAACGCGUAUCCAACCUGCCCAUCACUUGGGAAUAACCUUGCGAAAGUAAGACUAAUACCCAAUGAUAUCCCACGAAGGCAUCGGAAUGGGAUUAAAGAUUUAUCGGUGAUGGAUGGGGAUGCGUCUGAUUAGCUUGUUGGCGGGGUAACGGCCCACCAAGGCAACGAUCAGUAGGGGUUCUGAGAGGAAGGUCCCCCACAUUGGAACUGAGACACGGUCCAAACUCCUACGGGAGGCAGCAGUGAGGAAUAUUGGGCAAUGGGCGAGAGCCUGAACCAGCCAAGUAGCGUGCAGGAAGACGGCCCUAUGGGUUGUAAACUGCUUUUAUAAGGGAAUAAAGUGGGUCACGUGUGACUUUUUGCAUGUACCUUAUGAAUAAGGACCGGCUAAUUCCGUG